UCGGAUUGUAGUCUGCAACCCGACUACAUGAAGCCGGAAUCGCUAGUAAUCGCGGAUCAGAAUGCCGCGGUGAAUACGUUCCCGGGUCUUGUACACACCGCCCGUCACACCAUGGGAGUCGGAAAUGCCCGAAGUCAGUAGUCCAACCUCGUGAGGACGCUGCCGAAGGUAGGAUUGGCGACUGGGGUGAAGUCGUAACAAGGUAUC
rnacentral:rRNA from 1 species